rnacentral:misc_RNA from 1 species
AAGGAGUUUUUAUUGUGCACUGAUUGUUUCCACAGUUGUGGGUGGUCAGUGUUUUGCUGUGAUUGUUGUUCAUGCACCUGUAUGUGGGUGUGUGGGUUGCAGCGUUAUUAUUUUUUGUUUGUGGGUUUGCAUUCUGUUUUCACUUGGUUGAGUGGGUAUCAUUUUUUUUGUGUGUUGGCACGUUGUUGGGUGUCUCGGGCAGCACUUGUGUGUUGUUCGUUGACCAUCAUGGCUGUGGGUGAACGGUUUUUUGUUUGCUUGUGGUUGUGGUUGGUGUGGUGUGUGAGAACUGUAUAGUGGACGCGAGCAUCUGUGCGCAUGAUGCAGCUUUUGUUGUGUUGUGUGUGCUGUAAUUUUUUUCUUUUGUGUUUAUUUUGUUGUGUGUU